rnacentral:rRNA from 1 species
AUUGAACGCUGGCGGCAUGCUUUACACAUGCAAGUCGAACGGUAACAGGCCGCAAGGUGCUGGCGAGUGGCGAACGGGUGAGUAAUGCAUCGGAACGUGCCCAGUCGUGGGGGAUAACGCAGCGAAAGCUGCGCUAAUACCGCAUACGAUCUAUGGAUGAAAGCGGGGGACCGUAAGGCCUCGCGCGAUUGGAGCGGCCGAUGUCAGAUUAGGUAGUUGGUGGGGUAAAGGCUCACCAAGCCAACGAUCUGUAGCUGGUCUGAGAGGACGACCAGCCACACUGGGAAGGAGACACGGCCCAGACUGCUACGGGAGGCAGCAGUGGGGAAUUUUGGACAAUGGGCGCAAGCCUGAUCCAGCAAUGCCGCGUGCAGGAAGAAGGCCUUCGGGUUGUAAACUGCUUUUGUACGGAACGAAACGGUCCUGGUUAAUACCUGGGGCUAAUGACGGUACCGUAAGAAUAAGCACCGGCUAACUACGUGCCAGCCGCCGCGGUAAGAC